CUAAAAACAUUGUUUUCUCCUAGUCCUUAUGUUGCAGGGGCUGUGUUUGCUGCUGGCUAAAGAAAGAGUCAAAACUUGGAGAAAUAGUCAAAGGGUCACAGAAGAUACAAAACAAAAAUCGUAAAGAUCCCUCAGGUGCCAGCACCACCACAGCAGCCUGAGGCCAAGCAUUUAUCUCAGCCGUAUUAUUGAGUCACAGGUCCCCUUUCUAGAAGAUACCCCUCUGGUGACUUGAUGGCCCUGCCCUGAGCAGCAUGUGCAAAAUGUGAAUCCAAGACUUUGCUGCCCCCCAUGCCCUCAUUCUUCACUGUCCCUAUCUUUGCCUCUCAUCUUUUCAGCUUCCCUUUCUCCCCAUUUCAGUGAGAGACUUGAACAGCCCCACAAGACAAGUUCACUGUGUUUUGCUGCAGUUACCCAGUAUCCACAGUGAAGACCAGGGCUAAAGUGACGCAGCAUCUUGCCUUCUCUCGUGAGAUUUUUCCUUCCCUCUCCUUUGGGAUCAGAAUUCAACUUUAUAUAAGACCUGAGUAAAGAAAAUACUAUCUUCUGACAGACACCUAGCACAACUAUGAAGCGAUUGUCAUGUGAUGCCUCUUCUGUCUGCAGGAGUCAUUUGUUGGUAGCCCAUUUCUACAAAUUACAAUUCCUGUUGAAAGGCAGCUGUUGGGUGCCAUCCUCAGGGAACGAGGCUAGAACCUGAAGGCUGGAUGCAGGUCUGUGCUGUGCUGCAAACCUGCAGGGUGCUCUGGGGGAAGCUACCCAGGUUAUCUGCCCUAGCUCCCCGUCUGACCGUUCUGCGGCUGCAGGAUUCCCUUCCUCAUUUUGCAGUCUUUCUGAAGCCAUUCCCCUGCGACCAGGGAAGCACUUGGAGGCAGAUGCCUCUUCCAAUGUCUUUUAUGUUCAUCAGAUCUUUAAGGGGGUCAUCCGUGUCCCUGAACGUUAAGGUUUUCAAGAAGUGGAGCUGUGCGUUCACUUGAUUUCUAAUUGCAGCCAAGAUAGCUGCCAGGCAUAGCUGUGCCGUGUGACGUGCUCGCAGGUGACACAGUGCUGUUACCUCCUUCCCACCUGGAGAUCCCAGCUUUGUUCAAUGUGGAUAUAAGAGAGCAAAAGCAUUUCUCUGCAUACUUACAAAAGGCCAAGGAGUAAAACACACCAGGGAAGAAGUUGUGGAUAAAAGCCUGAGGUAGGUGGCAUUAAUCUGCUUGCUCAGAGGCUUGUUUUGGCCGUCGUCAGUCAUCUGUCAGCAACUCCUGCGUGAUCCUCUCAAACAGCAGCUACCGCUCAUGUUGAAAGGAGCUGGUUUCCUGGGGCAUUCCCUGCCCUCGAGCCCUGCUGCAUCGCACUUAGCUGCAGAAGUAGCUCCGUCCCUGCAUUCAGGGCCGGCCUGCAGGGACCGUGGCUGUGGUUGGCAUGCUGCCUCCCAUGCGGAUGACCCACUUUGGACAUUGCUUGCUGGAGAGCAGCGCUUCCAGACCGGGCAGCAGCAGCAACCUUGGGGUGUUGAAGCUAAGCCCCUGUGCAGCCUGGGCUGGGCAUCCCUUGGGGUCUGUGUCAGUGCGAUGCAGCUUGACUUUGUGCAGAGCAUGUAUACAUCUAAACGUCACCUGAGUACUCCGAAAGACUUGCUAUGGGAGCUCCCUGGUGGAUCUGUAUGGCGUGGGAUUUCAUACCCUGUAUAGCUGAGCAGUUCCUCAACCAAAUUUUUCAAGAAAUCAGUUAUAAUUGAGGCAUUGUUUUUGAAUUCCUCUUGCGGUUUCUGCUUGCCCUGCGACGAUCUCUCAAGAGGAAGUUUACUAAAAAUACCGAAGCAUAAGAGUUCCCCGUUCAACAGACGUGCGCGAGAGGCACGGGGGGUGGCCUGCGGCCGGCAGCUUCGGGCAGGCGUGGAGGAGGUGUGUGAACCUGCUCCCCAAAUGCAAGGGGCAAACGUGUAAAAGGAAUGCAAUAGGAAGUGGUGGCACUUGGAAUUUCUUUGGAAAAAGCUUUUUUUUUUUUUUUUUUUCCCUUCAAUGAGGCCUUACAGUUGCAUGCCUGGAAUACUUGUGAAAUCCCUGCUUAACUCUUGAUUCCCGUCUAUGCAAGAUGAUAAACUUGAUUAGUUAAAGUCCCCUGUGCUCAACCAGACCGAUAACAUCCAAAGUAUACCUAGAAAGAAUGUAGAGGUACAGUUUGUAAGGCAGUGCCCUCUGGACUCAAAUAGAAAGUGUUUCCCUAAUUAACUUCUGUCUAAGGGCUGGCAGUGAUACUUACCCAAUUGGCAAACCUAGUCUCAAAUUUCAGCUUUAAAAUACAAUUGGCAGCUCAGCAAAUUCAUAGAAUUGAUCCCCAUUCACACUUAUUUUUUGGCUUGCGUUAAGAAUGUGCCAACCUGGAACUCUAAACUUAACCCGGCGUGACUUUUCCAGCGCUGCUGCCUGAAGAGGGAAGCCUGGCAGCAGCGCCUGGGCGCCCGCCAAGACAAACACGCCUGGCAGAUGCCAGCACAGCGACGACUGGAGCCACAGGUGAGGGGAGAGUAAAAGGGGAAGCAAAGGGUGGGUUGUGUACCCUGCCCUGUUCCCAAAACCCUUUAUUUGGAUGACCCCACGUUUGGGUUUCCCCGCUCUGCGGUCUGAGGUGGUGCAGCAGCUCCAAAGGCUGAGCUGCUGCAUGCAGUUUUAGGGCUGCUUAAACCAAAAAAAAAAAAAAAAAAAAACGCAGUAAAGAUGCAGCAUGGGGUCUGCUUGGAGGAGCCAUCUCCUGACCCAACUAUGUGUUGGAUCCCCACGGAGAUCCUUCUGUGAUUUCUAAUGCUUGCCUGGAGCUGAGAGCAACAGUGUGGGUAAUCGGACUGCAUCGUGCCCCUUUGGGGCUAGCAAUCUUCUUGCCCAUAAAGAAUGGGGCUGCUGCCAGGACUUAGGUGCUAGCUUGUGGAAGCCUGCCCUGAGCGCCGACUCCUCUGUUUCUAGUGCUACCACAUUGACACCUUGUGGUGGAGCUGGCCAUCACAUUUUUUAUAAAUAUUUCUUACUGCAGGAUGAUUGGUAUACACGUUUCAGAUGUUAGUUGCUAGACGUUUCUUAGAUGCUUCCCCCUUCUGUUUGUACUUUUUCUUUAAACAGCACUGCUUAAGCUCCAUAGGACAAAUAAAAACAUCAGGACAUCUAAGUGCAGAUGCUGCCCUAAAGCAGUAUCUCCCAGGUAUCAUCCCCAGUUGUGUUUGCAAUAGCACGGAAGAUGAACAGAAAUAAUCACUGCGGACUAUUAUUUCCUUCUUUUUCUUAAACUUAUAUAGAACUUUGUUUCUCUGCCCCUUUUUCCAUACUCUUGUUAUUUUCACUUCAGUUUAGACAGAUAUCUGCAUCUUUUCUUCCUCCUCUACAAGUCUUAAAUGUGUUCUUUGUAACUUUAAAAAGAUGCUCUAAAGGGUUAAAGAUCUUCCAUAUGCUCUUUUAAAUGAAGACAGGGCUCCAAAUCCACCAUGUCGUAUAUUACAGAGCUAGUCAUUACGAGCAAAAGGAUAUUCAGAUGCUGAAGUUCUUAUCCGAGAAUGUUUCCCUGCUGGAAAUAACAUUUUUACAAGCUUCUGUAUUCCCUUCAGUCUCUUCCUAACAGGGCCUCCUGUGGGGAGAACUUAGUAUUUCUCAUUCUGAUGAUAGUUUUGAGUACCAUUAAUAAUUGUCUGCCAAUGGCUGUGUAUUUUUUGGCAAUAACAAAUCACAUUCAAGUUUGCUUCCCUGCUAAAAAUUUCUUCAGCACUGCUUUUGGAGCAAUGGUCAGAUGGACCAUAGCUUUUGCCCAGCUUAUCAUGGCAUUUAUGUAUUUGGGUUCCAUGAAGCUGCAGAAUGUGGUACUAGUUAUGAAGUACAUUUUGCCACUUACAACCUAAAGUGGUAAAAGCCUUCUCAUUCCUCUGUAUUUCUCCUGCUAGCCUAUUUAGCAAAUGUUGGUUGGCCUUCAGUCCUCCUAGGCUGCUCUCGUCCGUCUGCAGCUCUUUGGAUGACAGUAAGAGGAUAGCAUUAUUCCAUUAAUCUGGAAACGAAAUUGCUGGGCACUAAUGGUAUCCUUGUCUUUUUUCCACAGUCAGCAUUGCAGCUCGCUCUCAUUGUCAGCAGCUACUGUAGCUGAUACCACUCUGUACUUAGUGGUCUCCUCAUUUGUUUGCAGUGUCUGCAGUGUGGAUAAAUUCAGCAAGGUGAUGAUCACAGGAGAGAGCUGGACCCACUUCGCUGAGUGCUGCAAGUAUGCCAAUGGAUGUCAGCCACCCUUUUGAGGCUUACGUCGCAGAGCAGUAUCUUCUGGAGGAAAGCAGCCAGGCUCCUGGAGGAUUGCUCCCACUGCUUCAAUCUUCUAAAAGAGUCUUGAUGACCAAAGAGCAAAGAACAUCAAGGGCUUUCUGAGACUCUCAGGCUGUUGGGAUUUAUGGAUUCAUUUUCAACUUGGCAGCAAGAGCUGGACUCAAAUGCAUCUCAGCAGAGACACCAAAUAGCAACAGCCAUCUAUCGUGUCUGCACAAGAGGUACCUAUUCCUUUCUGUUAGCAAUUUCUUCCCUUACCUCUCAAGCCAGAAAGCAAUCCUACUGUCUUGGAAAGUAUAAAAAACUGCAGCAGAAGGUCCUGAGUCCCACAUGCUUGCUCAGUGGCAAAAUAACAAAACUGUUUUUGCUUGCCGUGGGCUUUUCGCCAAGGGCAGAGUUCCUCUGCAGCACUCAAUGACGUAACGCUGCUGCUGCUCUGCCCUAGAAACACAAACUUCAUGAGAAAAAUCCCUCUGAGUGGAUGAGCCAAGAGAAAUCAAGUUCUGUUUAGCACCAAAGUCUGAUUUAUUUUCUCAGACGCUUUCUCAGUAGAAUGCACAUUCUAAGUAUUUUACUGAAAGAUUUCUUAGUAACUAUAGCAGAAAUGAACGCAAAAUAAAUUAUUAAACCUAAGAGAGAGGUUCUGAACAAGCACCAAAUUCCAAUGCGUUCUUGAAGGAAAAGGAGAAAAGCUUACGUACGUGUUGCCAGCAAGCCAAGGGCACUAUAUAAAGGCACCAUGCCAUUUUUUCUAUGUUUUAAAUGCUUUCUGUAUUGAAAUAGGUAACCUACCUACAUUCCGGACAUAAAAACAUGUUGGCACUGCAGCAGGCUAUAACCAUACGUGUCGUGUGUGUAUUUUCUGAAUGCUGGCAUUUGGAACUUGCUGUUUGAGCAUUUGGAAGGUAUUUUUCCACUCUGCAUGGCACUUUUUGAGUGUGCCGAUGUGCAAGCAGGUAGCUUGGAAAGCUCUGGUACAGGUCGUGAGGCAAUCCGGUGAGCCUGUCUGGUCACUUCGAUGUGUUAAAAGCAGUGUGCGCAUAUUUUAUGGCAACUAACAAUGGCUGUAGAACUUAAGUACUUUCCAAAGCAGUUCACAGGAUACUUUUUCCAUAGUUUUGGUUUAACAUCAGUUCUAAUCUGUGUGCGUUUUCCAGUGGAUAACUUAUAAACUGUUCUGAUGAUCCAAAACUUGUUUAUCUGAAUGAGGCAACUUAUUUUAAAAAAUCACUAUUAUAAUGACUAUAACUAGUGGAAAAUAACAUGAGGAAAAAGCUAUAAUUAUUUCUUGACAGAGUCAACCACCAUGUGACCACAAGCAAUUCAGCUGAUACAGUUUGCUUAUUUCUGUACUAAUUUGCUGAUCAGUCUUUUAGCAAAUAAAAAAAUAAAAAGGUGCUGGUGGUUUCCAGAAGGAAACAGGUUAAAG